rnacentral:rRNA from 1 species
AUUGAACGCUGGCGGCAGGCCUAACACAUGCAAGUCGAGCGGAGCGGCGGACGGGUGAGUAAUGCCUAGGAAUCUGCCUGGUAGUGGGGGAUAACGUCCGGAAACGGGCGCUAAUACCGCAUAUUAUGAGAUGAGCCUAGGUAGGAUUAGCUAGUUGGUGGGGUAAAGGCCUACCAAGGCGACGAACCGUACCUGGUCUGAGAGGAUGAUCAGUCACACUGUAACUGAGACACGGUCGAGACUCCUACGGGAGGCAGCGGUGGGGAAGAGUGGACAUGGGGCGAAAGCCUGAUCCAGCCAUGCCGCGUGUGUUAAGAAGGUCUUCGGAGUGUAAAGCACUGGAAGUUGGGAGGCGUUACCAACAGAAUAAGCACCGGCUAACUUCGUGCCAGCAGCCGCGGUAAUAC